rnacentral:rRNA from 1 species
GGAACACGUGGGUGACCUACCCAUCAGAGGGGGAUAACACUUGGAAACAGGUGCUAAUACCGCAUAACAGUUUAUGCCGCAUGGCAUAAGAGUGAAAGGCGCUUUCGGGUGUCGCUGAUGGAUGGACCCGCGGUGCAUUAGCUAGUUGGUGAGGUAACGGCUCACCAAGGCCACGAUGCAUAGCCGACCUGAGAGGGUGAUCGGCCACACUGGGACUGAAACACGGCCCAGACUCCUACGGGAGGCAGCAGUAGGGAAUCUUCGGCAAUGGACGAAAGUCUGACCGAGCAACGCCGCGUGAGUGAAAAAGGUUUUCGGAUCGUAAAACUCUGUUGUUAGAGAAGAACAAGGACGUUAGUAACUGAACGUCCCCUGACGGUAUCUAACCAGAAAGCCACGGCUAACUACGUGCCAGCAGGCGCGGUAAUACGUAGGUGGCAAGCGUUGUCCGGAUUUAUUGGGCGUAAAGCCAGCGCAAUCGGUUUCUUAUGUCUGAUGUGAGAGCCCCCCGCUCAGCCGGGGAGGGUCAUUGGAAACUGGGAGACUUGAGUGCUCAAGACGACACUGGAAUUCCAUGUGUAGCKUUGAAAUGCGUAGAUAUAUGGAGGAACACCMGUGGRGGAGGGCGGCUCUCUGGUCUGUAACUGACGCUGAGGCUAGAAAGCGUGGGGAGCAAACAGGAUUAGAUACCCUGGUAGUCCACGCCGUAAACGAUGAGUGAUAAGUGUGGGAGGGUUUCCGCCCUUCAGUGCUGCAGCAAACGCAUUAAGCACUCCGCCUGGGGAGUACGACCGCAAGGUUGAAACUCAAAGGAAUUGACGGGGGCCCGCACAAGCGGUGGAGCAUGUGGUUUAAUUCGAAGCAACGCGAAGAACCUUACCAGGUCUUGACAUCCUUUGACCACUCUAGAGAUAGAGCUUUCCCUUCGGGGACAAAGUGACAGGUGGUGCAUGGUUGUCGUCAGCUCGUGUNGUGAAGAUGUUGGGUUAAGUCCCGCAACGAGCGCAACCCUUUUUGUUAGUUGCCAUCAUUUAGUUGGGCACUCUAACGAGACUGCCGGUGACAAACCGGAGGAAGGUGGGGAUGACGUCAAAUCAUCAUGCCCCUUAUGACCCGGGGUACCCCCGUGGUACAAUGGGAACUACAACGAGUCGGUAGCCCGCGAGGUCCAGCAAAUCUUUUAAAGCUUCUUUCAGUUCGGAUUGCAGGUUGCAACUUGCCUGCAUGAAGCCGGAAUCGCUAGUAAUCGCGG